UACAGAGGUCCCAAGCGUUGUUCGGAUUCAUUGGGCGUAAAGGGUGCGUAGGCGGCGCGGUAAGUCGGGUGUGAAAUCUUGGAGCUUAACUCCGAAACUGCAUUCGAUACUGCCGUGCUUGAGGACUGGAGAGGAGACUGGAAUUCCCGGUGUAGCGGUGAAAUGCGCAGAUAUCGGGAGGAACACCGGUGGCGAAGGCGGUUCUCUGGGCCUUACCUGACGCUGAGGAGCGAAAGCGUGGGGAGCGAACAGG
rnacentral:rRNA from 1 species